rnacentral:rRNA from 1 species
UACGGGGGGGGCAAGCGUUGUUCGGAAUUACUGGGCGUAAAGGGCUCGUAGGCGGCCAACUGAGUCAGACGUGAAAUCCCUCAGCUUAACUGGGGAACUGCGUCUGAUACUGGAUGGCUUGGAUCCGGGAGAGGGAUGCGGAAUUCCAGGUGUAGCGGUGAAAUGCGUAGAUAUCUGGAGGAACACCGGUGGCGAAGGCGGCAUCCUGGACCGGUAUUGACGCUGAGGAGCGAAAGCCAGGGGAGCAAACGGG